UACGGGGGGGGCAAGCGUUGUUCGGAAUUACUGGGCGUAAGGGCUCGUAGGUGGCCAACUAAGUCAGACGUGAAAUCCCUCAGCUUAACUGGGGAACUGCGUCUGAUACUGGAUGGCUUGAGUUUGGGAGAGGGACGCGGAAUUCCAGGUGUAGCGGUGAAAUGCGUAGAUAUCUGGAGGAACACCGGUGGCGAAGGCGGCUCACUGGCCCGAUACUGACGCUGAGGCACGAAAGCGUGGGGAGCAAACAGG
rnacentral:rRNA from 1 species